UUUGGGGGGGGGGUCCCCUCAGAGUAAGGGGAGCAGCAGGAAGGGGAGGAGCCACCCGGGCCCCCCCAGCGACGCCCCGCCCCCCGCGGGGACCUUCACCCCGUACUUCCGCUCCCAGGAGCCCCCGGGGCGCCCUGACCCCGGAAGUGAUCCCGGGGGGUCAGCGUCGGCCAUGUUGGGAUCGGCGUCGCCCAUACUGGGAGCGGCAUUGGCCGUACUGGGAUCGGGGUUCUUCAUACUGGGACCGGCGUCGGCCUUACUGGGACCGGCGUCGGCCUUACUGGGACCAGCGCUGGCCGUACUGGUGUCGGCGUUGGCCGUACUGGGAUUGGCGUUGGCCGUACUGGUGUUGGUACUGGCCGUACUGGUGUUGGUACUGGCCAGCACGUUGACGGCGGCGGCCAUCUUGGCCCCGCUCCUUUUCCCGUUGACGCUCUCGUUACCGGGCGCCGCCAUCUUGGAAUCCGCGGGGGCCGCCAUCUUGGUGCCGUUGGCGGCCACGUUGGAAUCCGCGGGCGCCGCCAUCUUGGCGCCGCCGGCCUCCACGUGACUUCCGUUGGGCGCCGCCAUCUUGGCGCCGCCGGCCUCCACGUGACUUCCGUUGGGCGCCGCCAUCUUGGCCCCGCCGGCCUCCACGUGGGUCGCGUUGGGCGCCGCCAUCUUGGCCCCGCCGUGGGGCUGCGCCGUGGGGCCGUGGCCGUGGGGCAGGAGCUCGAGGCGGGGCAGGUGUGGGGCGAAGAAGGUUUUGUUGCGGAGGUCCCGGUUGCAGAAGUCGCCGUGGCAACACGAACCCCUGAGCCCCACGGCGCCGUCCCCGCGCGUCACCUGGGUGCAGUCGGGGUCCCGGGCGCAGCCUCGCACUUCACGCCACAACGACACGCCGCCUGUGGGGCACAGAGCCGCCGUCAGCCCCACAAGUGGGCCGCCGGGACCCAGAAGUUGGGUAUUGGGACCCGUAAGUUGGAGAUCGGGACCCAUAAGUUGGAGAUCGGGACCCAUAAGUUGGAUAUUGGGCCCCAUAAGUUGGAUAUUGGGACCCAUAAGUUGGAUAUUGGGCCCCAUAAGUUGGAGAUCGGGCCUCAUAAGUUGGAUAUUGGGA
ensembl:lncRNA